rnacentral:lncRNA from 1 species
UGAGUGAUUACACCUUCACGCGUCUUCUUCUUCCAUCAACUAGUACACCUAAAUCACAACGCUCCCACACAUUUUUUUUUCUAGAAAGAAUACACAAAACUCCCCUACGCGCCCCCAUCCCACUUCUUUCUUUCUUCUUCUUCUUCAGUGAAAGCAACUCGAACCCAACCUUAAAUCCUCGAUUCAAUGCCUCAAUUUCCCCUAUUCUCCUUCGACUCAUAUGGCUAAGCGUGCUUGGCACGAGCUUGAGAACACCUAGAGGAUUCUAGGACGUUACCAAGGUUUUUGUCCCCUCAAUUGUGAUUUUGUUCAAAAAAUGGUAUGAAUUCGUACACUAACCAGUUAUCAAUCUUAUCUGCUAAGGAAUUUUGGACUUUUGCAUUAUUCCCACAUAGUUUUUCCCCUCAAAUUUGACCCAGAAGCUGCCCUAUAAAUACCCUUCUUUUGCCACUGUUCAGGGACCAUUUUUGUGAGCUGAAGAAUUGAGAGCACCCCCGUAAAGGUUUUGGGAGCUCUUAGUUCGUAGUUUAAGAUUUUAUCUGCUUUCGACUGUCCCAGUCACAUUUUGGUGGUAAAGUUCAUUGCCUCCAAAACUCGAGUUCCAGUCGCUGCCCAGAACCAGGUAACCUUCGUGUCAUCUUAUUAUUUUUGCCUAAUUAUAUUUAUGUUAUGUAGAAUUUUGUUUGUUCAUGAGUUGCUUUAGUUUAGGAAUUGUGUUCCUUGUCUUAGGAUAAUCUUCUUGAUUUGUGUGUCUCGAGUAGCCUAUUUUAGAUUUGCUUUGAUUUUAGCUCAACCUCUGGAAAAUUGUUAUUUUAAGGCAUUUUGAUCUAGGUAUUAUUUGUUUCUUACUUGAUUAUACAGACAAAUCUUUUAAUUAUCGAAUGUGGUGAGUUUAUGUUCUUCACUGUUUAGAUGAUUGCAUUUAGACAUUGAAUUCAUAUGCAGGCAAUGUGAAUGUACUAUAGUUGUUUUAUUUAGUUGAGUUCAUAUGAAGUAUGUGUGUCUAGUUGCUUUAAUCUAUCAUUAAGUAAUUUCGCAAUCCAUGUGUGUGGCUGUUGAUUUCUUUCUAAUCGCCUUCCUUAUUAGACAUGUAUAACUCGAAAUGCAAUUCAUGUAUCCUUAUAUAUCAAGAAUGUGAUAUGAAAAUAUCUUAUUUAGUUACAUUGAUUUUAGAGUUUCUAUCUUCGGUAUUGGAAAAGUCCGUAUGUGUUGUUGAAAUGUCAUCUCUGCCUGCCUAUUUUGUAAAACCUAUUAGUGUACUUUUGCCUGCUUAGAUUCCUCAUUAUGUAGAGCCUUUGUCUGUCUUUGUUUAGAUUUUGGAUUAUAUAAUAAUUUAAAGUUUAGUCUUGUUCGAGUAUGUUUUUGCAGAUUGUAGCCCUACGGUAGUAUACAACUUGAUUUGCUGGUUUGAUUCCUCUAAAUUAGAGUUUAAGUUUGAUUAAGGAUAAAUUCUCUUGUUUUAGUGAAAAGCACCAGUUUUAGUUAUUUUGUCUACUUCUCUGCCUUCGUAAUGAUCUGUAGUUGGAUCCCUUUUAGUAUAUUGGAUUGGCUACAUUUAACUAUAACAAUUACAUGUUUUCUUAAUCCUUUUGUUUAAUGGUUUGUAUUUCUAGUUUAGGAUCAAAUUUUGUCCUGUUGAAGUCAUUUAAGUUGUUGAUUAAUGUUCAAGUUCCACAUAUUGCAAGAGCCCCUGCAACUUUCAUCUUAGAGCAUAUUUUAUACCAUAGAAAGAUUUUUCUUUUUUAUUUUAUAUUUUUUUUUGUUACUGCUUUCCAGAUCUUCUCAAAAUCAUUUAUUUCAUUGUUUGUCUUUAGAAGUAUUUCUCCUCUGUUAAGGUUUGAGUUCUCUGGUUUAUUCCUAAAGGUUUAAGCGUUUCUCAUGUAGCGUAUAACAACUGAAUUUCAUCUCUUUGUGUGCCAAUAUGUCAUUCAAGGUUUCUGUCUAACUGCUUGGAUUAUUUCAGCUUGUUUAAGUUGUUGUUUGAUGGUGAAAUAUUGUUUAUUUUGUUGUGUUAUCAUUAGACUAAUAUUUAUCCUUACCUUUUCUUCCUUUUUCAUGAACAGUCUUUUCGAAUGAGUCCAACUGACUCCCUCUCUUGCAUUUUCUUCUUCUUUAAGUCGACCUCAUCAAAGUCGUGAAAGGGAAGUUAAUAUCAUCGGGUUAAACUUCAAAUCACUGGCAGCAGCUCAAUAGCAGUUACAACACUCCCAAAAGCUGAAAAUUGCAAAUUUUGGACUUAAAAGAGUCUCAAUUAACCGAAGUAGUAGCAGCAGUUCCCAAAGGGGCAAAAAUUGAGAUUUCUUGGACUUUAACAAGUCCAAUUUAUACCGUAACACCAACAGUAACUAAGCAAGAAGCGAAAAUUGGGUUAAAACCCGAAGUUGACAAAGUAGCAGAUCGGCAAUUCAGUCCCAAAAGGGACUUAGUAUGGGUAAAAAAUGUCUUGUCUAUAUUUUCUUACUAUUGUCAUUGAUGCCAACUUUUGUUAAUCUUUAUUAAUUUAGAUGAAUCCUUGGGGAGAUUUUU